rnacentral:lncRNA from 1 species
CAGACCUAUGAAGGUCGAAGGGGAAGAAAAGCUGUAUCGAUUGUUGAGAUCUGGCGACUUGUUUAAAUUUCAUCAGCCUCACUUCUAUGAACUCUCAGGUAAAGGAUAUUCACGUGAAAUUAAGAGACAGAGUAUUUCAUUGGGAUGAAAAGAGAGCCAUUAAAAGGAAUAAUAAAUUGUGAAAACUGGGCAUGACUGUCCAGCCAGCCAUGUACUUGUAAGUUCAGAGACUGUGCGUCAGCUGGUAAACACAGAGGAAAACCAGGCUUGCCUAAUUUGAUGAC